GCAGUAGCAGUGGCAGUGGCAGUGGCAUAGCAGUGGCAGUGGCAUAGCAGUGGCAGUGACAGUAGCAGUAGCAGUGGCAGUGGGAGUGGCAUAGCAGUGGCAGUGGCAGUAGCAGUGGCAGUGGGAGUGGCAGUGGCAGUGGCAGCGGCAGUGGCAUUAGCAGUGGCAGUGGCAGUGGUAGCAGUAGCAGUGGCAGUGGUGACAGUGGCAGUGGAAGUAGCAGCGGCAGCGGCAGUGGCAGUGGCAUUAGCAGUGGCAGUGGCAGUGGUAGCAGUAGCAGUGGCAGUGGUGACAGUGGCAGUGGAAGCAGCGGCAGCGGCAGUGGCAGUGGCAUUAGCAGUGGCAGUGGCAGUGGCUGCUGUUGAUCACAUACUGUUCUGUGUCAAGCACCACACCAGGCUUUUUCCCACUUGCAUGGGCACUGAAACCAUCCUGCAGCUUUGCUGAGGAAGCCAAGCUCAGAGUGGUGCCCUCUGCACCUUGACCCGCUUCUCCCCAAGGGAUUCCCCUGCCCCUGUCCACCUCCUGGCUGCCCCUGUGGAACACCCACUGCAUAGCUAGGUUGGGCACAUGCAUGUGGCCGGGGCCCACCUGGCCUUGGAGGAAGUGCUGAUUGUCUCAUUCUACAGGUUUGGACACUGAGGCUUGAAGCAGAUCAGAGAUGAGCAGGUGGAGCAAGAUUUGGACCUGGACAUGGCCUCAGAGUCUCCUCCCACCCUCUGUGGUCCCUGGACCAGGAGCAGCCUUGUGCCACCCCUUAGGGAAGACGUCCAGUCCCACCCACCCCCGCGGCUCUCCUCGCAGGAGUCCAAGCUGGGCCUCCAGCCUCCCUGCCAGGAGCAGAAAGGAGGCAGAGACUGCCCUGAGCCGCCAGGCGGGUUCUGCCAUCUCGCAGAAAGUGGCCGGACAGGUUGGGUCUGAAGCCACAUAGAGUUGGGAUUGUUUCCUCAUAAUCACUGUGAGGCUGGGCUGCAGGAGCCAAGCUGAUUCUCGUUGAAAUCCUAACGCCCCAGGCAAUGAUGUUAGGAGGCGGGGCUUCUGGGAGAUGGCAAGUUCGUGAGGCUGCAGCUCUGCUGGGGGAUCAGUGUCCUUCUACAAGCGGCUCCAGGGAGGUCCCUUGCCCCUUCCACCAUGUGAGGACCCGAGAUGGUGCCGUCUAUGAACCGGGAAGUGAGUCCUCUCCGGACGUGGAACAAGUUGGUGCCUUGAUUUUGAACUUGCAGCCUCCAGGUAUGAAUGUGAGCUCUGGGCUCACUGCCUGUGGGGAGCCCUGCCUCACAAGGAGGGGUCCCUCUGCAUCUGCCAUGCAUGGCUGUUUCAAUCAAAGCUGCUGUCUAACACCACCGGCUCGACCUUGAGUUCCUCCCUGAGCAAAGCCAAGCGACCUCCUGGACUGAGCCAGUUUUCGUGCCUGCCUGCCCUGGCUCAUUGGCCAGGGACCCCACCCCGCCAUGUCCAGGCCUUGGUGAUACAGGACAGAGGUGCCCGUGCAGGUUGUGCCUGUGGCUGGGUCCCCAGGGAGAAGGUGGCAACCCCAGGCCAGCAGCCUCCUACCCUGAACUCCAGGCAACAUCGUCGGCCCCCUGGCACUGCACCUGCACUGUGGGCAGAGAAGGAGGGAAGGCUGGGAGAGGAGGAGGAGGUCGAAUGUCGCUGGAGGUCGGCGUCCUUCUGCAGCCGUGGCUUCAUGGGGUUUAAGUACGAUGAUGCUGCAUUGAGACGUUGUACUGUGUGAAGUCAGGGCCUUCUGUGCAUCGGUCGAGGGUGCAAUGCACACGGCACCCCCGAGCAGCCACCCAUCCUCCCUUCCCUCCACCCUGCGAGGCCCCGUUGUCCGUCUGUCCACACUCUGCUCCAUGAGCACACGUGACUUAGCUUCGCCUUGUGAGCCGCUGCUUGGGGUGAGCAUGCUUCCUGCUGGAUGCUUCUCUAUGUAAGCACCUGCCUGAGUGUCAGCCCUCUUAAGGUGAACCGCUCCGUGUCAUUCGUACAUUCACAAGUUUGUGCCGCCAUCAUCGUGAUCGGAUUCCAAAACAUUUUCAUCACCUCCAAGAAAGCCUUGUACCUGGCAGCAGUCACUGUCUCUAUGGAUUUGCUUAUUCUGGACAUUUCAUAAAAAUAGAAUCAAACAGCAUUUGGCUCUUCGUGUCUGGCCUGUUUCUCUGAGCACGAUAUUUCGAAGAUUCAGCUGGGUCUCGCUCCUGUUCCUGGCUGAAGCUGAAUAAUAUUCCAGUGCACGGCUGGACCACAGUCAUCAACUGACGGACACUUGGUGGUCUCACAUUUCCACUGGUGUGAAUAGUCCUGCUGUGAACAUGCGUGUGCGAGAUUUUGGUUGAACACUUGUCCUCAGUCCUCUUGGGGCAGUGCCAGCCUUGGCAGACGGGCCGGACAGAGGAGGGAUGAUGGCUCAGGCUGGCAGGGGCUGCCACGGGGCAGCGAUGGCCACCUCGAGCCUGGCCAGUGCUUCUGGACUUCCUCUCUGCUGACUUUGUUCCCUGGCUAGAAACAGUUGUGGCAGCGCUCCCAGACCGGGCGUCUGCACGGAGUGGCCUCAGCUUCCUUGAGCUGUGGGAAUUUAACG
rnacentral:lncRNA from 1 species